rnacentral:rRNA from 1 species
UACAGAGGUCUCAAGCGUUGUUCGGAUUCAUUGGGCGUAAAGGGUGCGUAGGCGGCGCGGUAAGUCGGGUGUGAAAUCUCGGAGCUUAACUCCGAAACUGCAUUCGAUACUGCCGUGCUUGAGGACUGGAGAGGAGACUGGAAUUUACGGUGUAGCGGUGAAAUGCGUAGAUAUCUGGAGGAAUACCGGUGGCGAAGGCGGCAUCCUGGACCGACAUUGACGCUGAGGAGCGAAAGCUAGGGGAGCAAACGGG